CUAAUUAAUUCUAUUAGUAAUUAUAUAUUUAUCUUAUAAAUUAAAUUAUAUAUAUCUAAAUUUAAGUAAUUAUAUAGUAAGACUAUAAAUAGCUUAUUAUAUAAAUUAUUAUUUAUUUAAUAAUAUUUUAUUAUUGAAAUACCUAUAGUAAUUCUAAAGUUAAUAUAUAUUAAAAAUCCUAAUUAUUAAAGAAAUAUAUUUAUUAGAUUACAAAUUAAUAUUCUUUAGAGCUUAUUAGUAAUUUGUAAUAACUUCUCAAAUUAUAUAGUUUUAUAUUAAUAAUAGUCUAUUUAGAUUUCUUCUUUAUUAACUUUGAAUAUUAAAGUAGUAUUCUAAUAUAAUUAUAAUAAGUAGAAGAAAGUUAGAAUUUAACUCUAGAGAAAAAGCUUGAGAAAUAACUAUUAUAUCUAAGAAAAGUAGUAGAUAUAUAAAUUAUUUAAUUUCAAUAUAAAGAAGUAGUAAUAAUAAAUAUUAAUAUAGAAUUCUUUUAAAUCUUACAAUUAGAAUAAGUAUAAUUUAAAUGUCUUAAUAAAGAAUAAUUAAAGAAUAAGUCUAAUACUAUUAGCUAUAGUAAUUCUAGCUUUAAGAGUAUAUAUU
rnacentral:ncRNA from 1 species